rnacentral:siRNA from 1 species
GAGGACCGAGUGAAGUGAUGG